UACGUAGGGUGCGAGCGUUAAUCGGAAUUACUGGGCGUAAAGCGUGCGCAGGCGGUUCGCCAAGUCAGGUGUGAAAUCCCCGGGCUUAACCUGGGAAUUGCGCUUGAAACUAGCGGGCUUGAGUGUGGGCAGAGGGGGGGUGGGAAUUCCACGUGUAGCAGUGAAAUGCGUAGAGAUGUGGAGGAACACCGAUGGCGAAGGCAGCCCCCCUGGGUCAACACUGACGCUCAUGCACGAAAGCGUGGGGAGCAAACAGG
rnacentral:rRNA from 1 species